AACAGUAGCGGUAAAGUAACGUAGCAAGGACCAGUAGGAAAAGACUCGUAGGCAUUGGAUCGGUGAUCGAUAAUUAUGUCGGAUGACAUACAUCAUGUAACAGUUAUAACAUGGGGAGAUAUGUAACUAGCUUUAGUUCGUCAAUGUAAUGUAGGGAUGUAUUUCGUAUUUAGUCAUACAUGCUUAUGGAAAAGAACUUGCAUGACAUCUAUUGUCCAUCCCUCCCGUGGCAGCCGGGUCCUAAUGGAAACUAAGGGAUAUUAAGGUCUCCUUUUAAUAGAGAACCAGAACAAAGCAUUAGCACAUAGUGAAUACAUGAACUCCUCAUACUAUGGUCAUCUCCGGCAGUGGUUCCGGCUAUUAUCACUCCUGGGUUGUCGGGUCAUAACACAUAGUAGGUGACUACAGCUUGAAAGAUAGGAUCAAGAACACACAUAUAUUGAUGAAAACAUAAUAGGUUCAGAUCUGAAAUCACGGCACUCGGGCCCUAGUGACAAGCAUUAAGCAUACCAAAGUAGUAGCAACAUCAAUCUAAAAACAUGGUGGAUAUUAGGGAUCAAACCCCAUCAAAACUAACCCAAUUACAUGAUAGCUCUCAUCCAACCCAUCACCGUCCAGCAAGCCUACGAUGAGAUUACUUACGAAUGGUGAAGAGCAUCAUGGAAUUGGCGAUGAAGGAUGGUUGGUGAUGACGACGGUGAUGAUUUCCCCUCUCCGGAGCCUAGAACGGACGCCAGAUCUGCCCUCCAGAGGAACAACACGUUG
rnacentral:lncRNA from 1 species